GAACCACCUCCUGCGGAGGGGCCAGGCCCAGCGUCCCCCCGACCGCACAGACCGGCCCUGCUGCGGAAAGAAGCCUCUCUCUACCCUUCCCCUCCUGCGCUGCCCUCUCCCCUGUGCCAGCACACGCCUCCCUGCUGCCACAGUGAGCCAGGCCGGAGGCAGUGCGGACAUGCAGAACAGCGUGUGAGAUCGCGCAUGUCACAGAUGUCAACCGCAAUGUCCAAGGCAAAACUGGAAGGAAUUAGGAUGCUAAGCGCAGCUGGAUCAGCCCGCUGAUGCCGACCGGUGCGAGGUGCUGCGCUACCCGCCGCAGGUAACCGAAGCACGGCAGGCACGUCUGCGGACGGGCGCUGAUUUGGAGCACGGUGGUCAGGAGUUCUUCUGAUCAGAACAACUGAUCAGAACGAUUAUUGGGAAACAUACCAUUUUUUAACCUCCUGGAGUGGAAGACUUCGCUGAAGAACUGACACUAAGGAGAUGUAAGGACUACACUCCCACUUGGCAGAAGAGAGGGAAGUCUCCCAGAAGAAGAGUGGUGCACCCUCCUGCAGGAGCAGUCUGGCUGGCCCCGCAGCCCUACCCGGCAGGAAAAGCAUGACAAACAUCUUACCUUUAAAGCUGGAGUUGCAUAUAUUGUGGAUACUGUGCUACUGUGCUUUUCAUCCCAUCCAAAAUAUCAGCUGUCUACAGCUACAGACUGACCACUUUUGAAAUAAUGUGUAUGUGCUUGUGGGGGAAUAAAAGAAUUGAAUGAC